UGGGGAAUAUUGGACAAUGGGCGAAAGCCUGAUCCAGCAAUACCGAGUGAGUGAUGAAGGCCCUAGGGUUGUAAAGCUCUUUUAGCAAGGAAGAUAAUGACGUUACUUGCAGAAAAAGCCCCGGCUAACUCCGUGCCAGCAGCCGCGGUAAGACGGAGGGGGCUAGCGUUGUUCGGAAUUACUGGGCGUAAAGAGUGCGUAGGUGGUUUAGUAAGUUGGAAGUGAAAGCCCGGGGCUUAACCUCGGAAUUGCUUUCAAAACUACUAAUCUAGAGUGUAGUAGGGGAUGAUGGAAUUCCUAGUGUAGAGGUGAAAUUCUUAGAUAUUAGGAGGAACACCGGUGGCGAAGGCGGUCAUCUGGGCUACAACUGACGCUGAUGCACGAAAGCGUGGGGAGCAAACAGG
rnacentral:rRNA from 1 species